rnacentral:lncRNA from 1 species
GACAUAAUUAAGUGCCAGGACUUUCAACACUUGUAACUAAGCUUUAAAUCUUUAACUUUCAUCACAUGCAUUGGUUACGCACAAUUCAGAAAGUGUCACGAAUAUCCAAAGUUGAUCACAUAAGAAGCUAAAAACACCAUAUUUUCACCUUUUUCAUAAACUUAGCAUCCAAAAUCAAGUUUCCUGCAAAACAUAUCCAAAAUGUAUAAUAUCUAACAAAACAAC